CUUCACUCAGAGCCGUAGUUGGCCACCGCAGCACCGCGAAGGGUUCGUUCAGGAACAGCGACCCUUUAAAGUUGGUAUGGAUGGACCAACGAAAAACACAGGGGGUGGAGAUUCCAUGAAGAGAAAUUAUGGAAGAGGUGACAACAACUCUUUCAGGGGAGAGACGAGGGCCAGUAGUGAGUGUAGAAAUAGCAGAGUAAAAGAAGGAGGAGAGCACAGUGGGGGGGAAGACGGCACGGCUGCUACGGGGAGAGCUGGACCAUGGGAGGACAGAGGAGGGAUAGGAGGAAGUAGAGGAGGUUGGAGGGAUCAAAGACGCCCUGAUGUGAGUCAAGUAGGCAGAGGACAAG